AUGAACGCUGGCGGCGUGCCUAAUACAUGCAAGUCGAGCGAACAGACGAGGAGCUUGCUCCUUUGAUGUUAGCGGCGGACGGGUGAGUAACACGUAGGUAACCUACCUAUAAGACUGGGAUAACUUCGGGAAACCGGAGCUAAUACCGGAUAAUAUUUCGAACCGCAUGGUUCGAUAGUGAAAGAUGGCUUUGCUAUCACUUAUAGAUGGACCUGCGCCGUAUUAGCUAGUUGGUAAGGUAACGGCUUACCAAGGCAACGAUACGUAGCCGACCUGAGAGGGUGAUCGGCCACACUGGAACUGAGACACGGUCCAGACUCCUACGGGAGGCAGCAGUAGGGAAUCUUCCGCAAUGGGCGAAAGCCUGACGGAGCAACGCCGCGUGAGUGAUGAAGGUCUUCGGAUCGUAAAACUCUGUUAUUAGGGAAGAACAAACGUGUAAGUAACUGUGCACGUCUUGACGGUACCUAAUCAGAAAGCCACGGCUAACUACGUG
rnacentral:rRNA from 1 species